AUGUAUAGGGUCUCUCUCUCUUGCCAUUCAAGCACAAGCAAUCCAUUUUUGAGGAAAAUGUUACUAGGAGAAACGUCAUUGAUGAGAUUGAUGAGCUAUAGAAACUUUUGUAAUAGGCCUAUAUUAUCAAAAAGGAUCUCUGGCACUAUUUUGGAUUAUCAAAAGAGGCCCUGUUAUGGAGGACGUGAAAAAGAAAGAGAGUGGGCGGAUGGAGUGAAGGAUGAAGGCUGGGUAGACGACUGAACAGAGAGAGAGAGGCUCUACGCGGCUGUUCAUCCAUUCAUCGCCAUGGGCUCUUGUCCUCGUCUCUCCUCCCCUGCUCCACCCUCCCAUCCCAGGGCCCUUUGAAGCGAGUGCGGCCCCAAAAAGGAGCUCCUGAGUGGGCUGGUGAGGCAUGAAUAAGUCCCUGCUGGUUACCAGCACCUCUGGAGAUGACGGCAAGAGAAAUCAAUAUGGAAAAGAGAAUGUGGAGAACAGAGUGGGGUUGUCCAGGUUAGCCCACGGCCUAGGGGCCUGGAGACCUCCAGAGGAGGCCCAUCUUGACCUCGCUCAGCCCCAGCCAAGGCUCCUCAGACUGGGCCUGGGUCCCUAACCACACUGGGUGUGUGUGGUUCUGCUGGAAGGGGCCUCCCAACAAACACCAAAUGAUGCACAUUAUUUAUUUUUUUAGAAUGCUAAAGGGGAUUUUCCUCUCUCUUUAUUUCUGUUUUCUUUAAAAAAGAUUGACGUACUCCCCCACCUGCACCCUGUGUGUGAAUGCUGGUGGGGGGGGUUCUGAUUUUUGAUUCAGACUUCAGAUCCACUCACUGCUUAUUCCCGGGGACACUUUUACAUUUGUCAAAGAGACAGUAACGUCUCAUUUUUACACUUCUAUUUUUCUUUUCUACACUGGCGUGCUUCCUCCACAGCGAUAUACAAACCACAACAACCACUUGAAUAGAUUUUUUUUAUCAGGCUCUUUAUUGUUCAAUUCCAAUAUAAUUUUUCAGUUGGCAUGAUCAAAGACCAUAGAACGAAAGACUACAACCCAUGAAAAGUAAAACCCAGGUCAGAUCUCCUAUCGAUAUAGCUCAUUAAUUUUGACCAGCUAGAAUAAAAGGGACCUAAAGGACCCAGGAAAACACAAGGCCAACAACAGGAGCAGUACAGAUGACUGGACACUCCCUGGAAAAACACAGAACCAGCAGACAGGUAUCUUACUCAGUAACAACAUACUCUCCCACUGUUACACACACUGACAAUACCUCUUCUUUCAAACACUGAGCAAUUCCCUGUAAUUACAAUCUAAUAUAAAGCAAAAUUAUACCUCAAAUAAAAUUUUAUUAGUCACAUACACAUAUUUGCAGAUAUUAUCGCAGGUGCAGUAAAAUGCUGUGUUUCUAGCUCCAACAGUGCAGUAAUACCUAGCAAUACAAACCAAUAAACAAAAAUCUAAAAAAUGUCAAUUUAGAGCAAUGUCAGAGUCCGGAAUUUGUUUUAUAUAUAUAAUUGUGUGUAUAGACAGUAUAUGUAUAGAAAAGAUGUGCGCAGCAGUAUUUGUACAUAUGAAGUGGGUAAAACGGUAUAUAAACAUUUAAAGUGACCAGUGUUCAAUGACUAUGUACAUAGGGCAGCAGUCUCUAAAGUGCAGGUAGAGUACCGGGUGGUACCCAGCUAGUAACAGUAACUAAGGUUCAAGGUAAGGUAUUGGGGAGAGGCCGGCUAGUGGUGACUAUUUAAGUCUGAUGGCCUGGGGAUAGAAGCUGUUUUUCAGUCUCUCGGUCCCAGCUUUGAUGCACCUGUACUGUCUCCGCCUUCUAGAUGGUAGCGGGGUACCUGUAUUGUGGGAAGAAAACUAACACACACAACCCACAAAUCUGUAUUGGUCUCGAACAGCAUCUCUUUCCCUAUAAAUGCACUGUACUCUGCAAUUGUCUGGUAGUGUUAGGUACUACGACCAGCCUAUAAUGGAGGGUCUCCCUCACACCCCUUCCUUUCCUGUGUAUGUGCCAACUGUAAGCAGUUGUCUGUUAUAGGGCGCUAGUGCCAAGAUACCGUCCUAGUCACGGUGACGUAGCGCAGUUGUUUUCAUCCAGACGGGCACAGCCUCAGACAAAAUGGCCACCACUCUGUUCCUCUGACAAAGAUGGCGGCCAUCGGCGUCUCAGUUCUAGCGCCAUCUGUUACCUUACCCGCCGUAUGCAAAUCUAGGCUAAUUGCAUUUGCAUAUCCACUUGAUUUAGUUACCGUGUGUGCUGACACAGCUAAUUGAUCAUAAUCAUGCCAUAGAGCUGGUGAGUGUGCGUACACUAAGUAGAAAGGCUUGUCAC
rnacentral:lncRNA from 8 species